rnacentral:rRNA from 1 species
AGGAUGAACGCUGGCGGCGUGCCUAACACAUGCAAGUCGAACGUCCUGUCUCGCAAGAGGCAGGGAGUGGCGGACGGGUGAGUACCACGUGGGUUAUCUACCGUGAGGUGAGGAAUACCGGCGAGAAAUCGCCGACAAGACCGCAUAGCCUCGGUGCAAGUCGAGGAAAGCUCUCUCGAGAGAGGGAGCGCCACACGAGGAGCCUGCGCCCGAUUAGCUAGCUGGUGGAGUAAUGGUUCACCAGGGCGACGAUCGGUAGCUGGUCUGAGAGGACGAUCAGCCACACUGGGAUUGAGAACGGCCCAGACUCCUACGGGGGCAGCAGUGAGGAAUUUUCGUCAAUGGGGCAACCCUGAACGAGCAACGCCGCGUGCAGGAAGAAGGUUUUCGGAUCGUAAACUGCUUUUCGUCGGGGAAGAGAACGGACGGUACCCGAGGAAUCAGCCCGGCUAACUACGUGCCAGCAGCCGCGGUAA